rnacentral:rRNA from 1 species
UACGAAGGGGGCUAGCGUUGUUCGGAAUCACUGGGCGUAAAGCGCACGUAGGCGGACCUUUAAGUCAGGGGUGAAAUCCCGGGGCUCAACCUCGGAACUGCCUUUGAUACUGGCAGUCUAGAGACCGGAAGAGGUGGGUGGAAUUCCUAGUGUAGAGGUGAAAUUCGCAGAUAUUAGGAAGAACACCGGUGGCGAAGGCGGCCCACUGGUCCGGAACUGACGCUGAGGUGCGAAAGCGUGGGGAGCAAACAGG